rnacentral:rRNA from 2 species
CUAUACAUGCAGUCGAGCGAACUGAUUAGAAGCUUGCUUCUAUGACGUUAGCGGCGGACGGGUGAGUAACACGUGGGCAACCUGCCUGUAAGACUGGGAUAACUCCGGGAAACCGGAGCUAAUACCGGAUAACAUUUUCUCUUGCAUAAGAGAAAAUUGAAAGAUGGUUUCGGCUAUCACUUACAGAUGGGCCCGCGGUGCAUUAGCUAGUUGGUGAGGUAACGGCUCACCAAGGCAACGAUGCAUAGCCGACCUGAGAGGGUGAUCGGCCACACUGGGACUGAGACACGGCCCAGACUCCUACGGGAGGCAGCAGUAGGGAAUCUUCCGCAAUGGACGAAAGUCUGACGGAGCAACGCCGCGUGAGUGAUGAAGGCUUUCGGGUCGUAAAACUCUGUUGUUAGGGAAGAACAAGUACAAGAGUAACUGCUUGUACCUUGACGGUACCUAACCAGAAAGCCACGGCUAACUACGUGCCAGCAGCCGCGGUAAUACGUAGGUGGCAAGCGUUAUCCGGAAUUAUUGGGCGUAAAGCGCGCGCAGGCGGUUUCUUAAGUCUGAUGUGAAAGCCCACGGCUCAACCGUGGAGGGUCAUUGGAAACUGGGGAACUUGAGUGCAGAAGAG